CAACGCGAAGAACCUUACCAGGCCUUGACAUGCAGAGAACUUUCCAGAGAUGGAUUGGUGCCUUCGGGAACUCUGACACAGGUGCUGCAUGGCUGUCGUCAGCUCGUGUCGUGAGGUGUUGGGUUAAGUCCCGUAACGAGCGCAACCCUUGUCCUUAGUUACCAGCACGUUAUGGUGGGCACUCUAAGGAGACUGCCGGUGACAAACCGGAGGAAGGUGGGGAUGACGUCAAGUCAUCAUGGCCCUUACGGCCUGGGCUACACACGUGCUACAAUGGUCGGUACAAAGGGUUGCCAAGCCGCGAGGUGGAGCUAAUCCCAUAAAACCGAUCGUAGUCCGGAUCGCAGUCUGCAACUCGACUGCGUGAAGUCGGAAUCGCUAGUAAUCGUGAAUCAGAAUGUCACGGUGAAUACGUUCCCGGGCCUU
rnacentral:rRNA from 1 species